rnacentral:rRNA from 1 species
GAGGAAUAUUGGUCAAUGGAGGCAACUCUGAACCAGCCAUGCCGCGUGUAGGACGAAUGCCCUCUGGGUUGUAAACUACUUUUAUUGGGGAAGAAACCCUCUUACGUGUAAGAAGCUGACGGUACCCAAGGAAUAAGGACCGGCUAACUCCGUGCCAGCAGCCGCGGUACUACGGAGGGUCCAAGCGUUAUCCGGAAUCAUUGGGUUUAAAGGGUGCGCAGGCGGUAGUGUAAGUCAGUGGUGAAAUCUCUCGGCUCAACCGAGAAACUGCCAUUGAUACUGCAGUACUUGAAUACAGUUGAAGUAGGCGGAAUGUGUAGUGUAGCGGUGAAAUGCUUAGAUAUUACACAGAACACCGAUAGCGAAGGCAGCUUACUAAACUGAUAUUGACGCUCAUGCACGAAAGCGUGGGGAGCGAAC